rnacentral:rRNA from 1 species
CCUACGGGAGGCAGCAGUAGGGAAUCUUCCACAAUGGGCGAAAGCCUGAUGGAGCAACGCCGCGUGUGUGAAGAAGGUCUUCGGAUCGUAAAACCCUGUUGUCAGAGAAGAAAGUGCGUGAGAGUAACUGUUCACGUUUCGACGGUAUCUACCCAGAAAGCCACGGCUAACUACGUGCCAGCAGCCGCGGUAAUACGUAGGUGGCAAGCGUUAUCCGGAUUUAUUGGGCGUAAAGGGAUCGUAGGCGGUCUGUUAAGUCUGAGGUGAAAGCCUUCGGCUUAACCGGAGUAGUGCAUUGGAAACUGGGAGACUGGAGUGCAGAAGAGGAGAGUGGAACUCCAGGUGUAGCAGUGAAAUGCGUAGAUAUAUGGAGGAACACCAGUGGCGAAGGCGACUAUCUGGUAUGUAACUGACGCUGAGGUUCGAAAGCGUGGGUAGCAAACAGGAUUAGAUACCCGGGUAGUC